rnacentral:rRNA from 1 species
UACGAGUGCCCCCGAGCGUUUAUCCGGAAUCAUUGGGCGUAAAGGGUGUGUAGGUGGCAGUGUUAGUCGAUUGUUAAAACCUGGGGCUUAACCCCCAGAUGUGCGAUCGAAACGGCACAGCUAGAGGAUGGCAGGGAUCUGUGGAACUCAUGGAGUAGGGGUGAAAUCCGUUGAUAUCAUGGGGGAACACCGAAAGCGAAGGCAGCAGAUUGGGCCACUCCUGACACUGAAACACGAAAGCGUGGGUAGCGAAUGGG